ACUACCACAAGUUUAUUGCACAAAUGUUCCUUAUCUUCAAAAGCAUUAAUAUUACAGCCAAACUGGAGUUCUCCAAGAUGCUGAAAUUAUUCCAAUAUAUCACUUCUGAUCUGUCCUUUCCUGACAAAGCCAAUAUUCCUGUCAGCUCCCCCCAGUCCAUUUAUUAUGGAAAUAACUUUUCCCUUGGACGGGACUCACACCUUGAUCAGAGAUCAGAGCAGUGAGAACAGGAGACCACAGAACAUGUCAACACAGAAAACUGGAGCUUGUGCCAGCUCCCUCAGAGGACCAUUUCACAGUUUUCUGCUCUUUACACUAGUAGCUGGCUGCUAUUCUCCUUUUGCUUAAAGAAAAAAAAAAAGAAAAAGAAAAAGAAAAAAGAAAAAAAAAAAGGAUCCUUUCUUUGGGAAUAGGAACAUGGUGUUUGGUGGAAAAGUGAUGUGACUGUGAGCUCAAGUCUUGCCAGCCAUGGAGAGGCCAGUUAUCUAUAAAUGCUGGCCUCACAGGAGUUUAUGGUUGUUGGCAGCUCAUGUAAAAAGUAAAAAUUUCAGGUACUGCCAUGUGGGUGAAUGGAUCAUCUCAUCUAUUACUACUAUUACUAUUAGCAUUACUAUUAGCCUUACUAUUAGCCUUACUAUUACUAUUACUAUUACUAUUACUAUUACUAUUAUUAUUUUAAAGCAGUGGAUGAGAUGAAUGAGCAGCACUGUGCCCAUUCCUAAACCUCAGCAUCAAACCCAAGUGCUCUGGAGUGUAGCCACGGCAGGCUUAACCAUGGCCCAUGCACUGAGGAUGAGAGGAGGCUUGUGACCAGGACCAGAAAAGCUGUGGUGGGGACCCAGGGCACCCUGUACACCCCUGCCUUGCCUGGUCUGGCUUUACAGCAAGGCCAAGGGAUGCAGCAGGUACCCUGCAGGGGUACAGCCUUGGCCAGGUGUGGGGGUCCCUUCCAGCUGGUGGCAGUACCCCUGCUUCUAGCUGCCGCUGGGCACAGGAGGGAACACCCCUCUUUUGUUUCCUCUGGUGUGCGUCCAGUAAUUAUUACCUUUUCACGCAGUUGGGGCCACUCAUUGCUUUCCAGAAUCCCAUGCACUGCCAAAGAUGGAGCCGCCACAGUACUGACAUGGGCACAAGCUGGCGAGUUCCAAAUCCAUCAUAGAGACUGGAGCAAAAACCAGAUCCAGUGGUAGCUGGAAAGGAGGGAUGGGCUGCCCUGUCCCAUUGCCUCUCUCCUCAGUGAUGCCAGGCCUGUAGGCCUCUGCUGACGGCAAGGUCCAAAAUGUCUCUGCCCUGUACCAGCUGCCCCCUCGGCAGGGCAGGGGGAGUCUCAGGACCGCCAAUUCCGGCUGCCUGCAAUUACAGCAUAUUAGCCCGGGCCGUUAAUUGUCCUGCCUUCCCGGGGUCCCACUUCGAGGCCACCGCUUCUCCAAGCUCGGUUCACCAUACCCUUAGGACACACCCAAGGCCGCUUCGGCCCGGACGGCGGAGGAGGGAGCCGGGCCGGGGCCGUGAGGGGGACCCGUUUCCCGCCGGAGCCGCUUUCCCGCCCGGCGCUCAAAGCUUAGGCGAGGGGGACCUCUGCAGGCCGCACCGCCAGCAGGCCCCAAGCACGGCUGGCACCCCCGUGUGGGACCGAGCGGGCCGGGCCGCCUCCUGCCUAGAGGUUUUCGCAAGGGGAAAAAGCCCUUCUGAAAGUUAAAAGGUGAAAAGAGGGUUUCGUGAGCAAACCCGCGUCCGUGGCAUUCCUUUUUCUGUGAGGUGAGCAGCCACGUCAUAUCCCACAGAGAAAUCAAAUCAUACUUUCCAGGGUUUGUGACAUUACUAACGUCACCGUGUGAAGAAGCAUAUUGAACCCCCAUAUCAGGACCUGAUGCUACCACGAUAAUGCAGUCUGAAGAGUGAAACCCAUCCCCUGGUUCACAGCCAUUCUGGAGAGGAUUGCCACUUAAAACAAAGUGACACCAAUGGACACAAGUCUCGGGGAGAGGAUGGAAGGUGAAAACCCGGCACAGGGUUAGAAGUGAUCUGAAGCAUCUCAGAAGCAGUGGGGUGACACAAAAGCUAGAAGCUCUUCCUAGUCCAUCUUGUGCCUGCCUCCAAGCCCCUGUCCUCCAAAAUCAAAGUGUCUCAUUGAAUUUCAGCCAAAAUGUGACUAGGGACAUGACAAAGAAAUUCAGUCCUUGGAUGUUUCAAAUCCUGCCAUCAUCAAGAACUGAUCUUUGGAGAACUCCCUGCUGUGUGCAUACAGCUCCUUUAUAGCCAAGGUCACCUCUAGCAGAAACUCUCCUGCCUCCCUGCUUCACCCCCAGAACCGAGAGGGUUGCAGAGUCCCUAGGUCACUGCCUGUCAACUUAACAGGACUUCACGCCUGAAAUGAGCCCUCCCUUGCAUAUGUCCUGUUCCAGCUGCUUGAGAGAGUGUCCCCCCUUCACUGCUCAUGGGAUCCUCUGUGCCCUGCUCUGACGCUGGCAGAGCCGACAGUGUGAAGUCCUACAUAUGUACAGGUGGACACUCCCCAGGUUAUUUUCUGCUCUCAGUUUCAUGGGCAGCAAUCACACUCCACUCUAGCCCUGCCUCUAGAGCACACAAAUGAGUAUUACAACCCUUAUACUUCCCAUGAGUAUUUUCAGAAAAUUAAUAAUAAUUUGAAGGAAAAUAUAAUGUUUCACAGCAGGUUGUUUGUUUGUUUUUGCUGGGUUUUUUUGUUUGUGUAUUUAUUCCCGGAGAGUGGGGAGUAUCACAAGUCACGUUCAUUUAUGCUCAUGCUGACAGCUCCCCCCCGUGUCCUGUGCUUGCACAUCUUUUGCACAGACACCCUUACCCACACCAGGGAUGCUUGGUGGAGAGAAGAUGGAGACAGACUCUUCUUGGGGUAUUGGGAAAGAUGAAAGGCCAAGAGACACAAGGAGUGACAGACAAGUUGCAUCAAAGGAAACUGUGAUUACUUAUAAGAGAAAGAAACUUUCCACAUGAUUAAUAGUCAAAUACUGGAGCACAGACCCAACUUUGAAGUCACUAACUGUGUCAACAUUCAGAGGUUUACUGAACUGAGAAACCUGCCCUAGAAGCACUGAGCUCUGGUCCUCAGAGAGAGAGCUUGAUCAGAGAUUUCCUGAGGUCACUUCCAACAUGAAUUAUGUGAUGAUUGAAUGAUGAAGCAAAAAAAUCCUUGGCUGCUACUCCUGCAUCCCCCUCAUCCAUCAGUGCUUUCCUGCACACCAGAAUGAACUGGAGCAGUCAAGCAACUUCCAAGUCCAUCAGUACAGGAGGAAUCAGCCACAAUACCCAUGGGCAAGAUAGCAAAACAGCUUCUACCCUUAUUCUUUGUGCCCUGUCCAGCCCAGGGUACAGAACCCAUGAUCAAGGGGAGAGGCAAUCUGCCCUAUUUGACAUACGAGUACUUCAAGGGAAAGCAAAAGAUGAAUUAGCACUGCAAGAUGUAAAGACACAGAAAAGAUCACCCCAAAGUGAGAAGAAAUAAUAAUCAACUGAUAUCUUGGUUCUGCCACCAGGACCUCCUAUUUCAUUUAACUGAUGCUUGGGUGAGACAUUCAGAGCUGGGCUCUGAAGCACCUCACUUGGGAGUGGUGACAAGUCUCCCCCUCAAAACCCUCUUGCAAUGGGUUUAAUGGUAAGAAAAUUGAAGGAGAGGUAAGGACUCAGUGGGAAACUUCCCAGCCCUACUACACUGUUUCAGCUGUGUUGCAGCCUUGAUUUUGGUACCUUCUCUAGGCUCCCCUUUACAGCUGGGAGGAUGAGAUUUCCAGAGACAUGACUGGAAAGAACGGGUUUGGGCAGGAAAUUUUUAGGGGGGAAACAGGACAGGCAUUCCAUUACCUGCAAACAUGGCUGGAGCCUGCAUGCACAGGCUGAGCCUUGCUCCUCUCUUAGCUGGCAUCCCCAAAGCAAGGCACAAGAGCUCGGCAAUUCUUCCUGAAAGAUGCUCCGUGUCCUGGCAGAGGAUGCUUGUGAGGCCCUCUCAGUAUCUUUGGCUGGCCCUGAGAGUCCCCAGGACUUGGUCAGAAGUCCAAUGGUCAUGCUUGGUCAGCAUGCAAUGUGACUCUGUGCCCCUCACAGCUCACACUGCCAGGACAGGACCGGGGGCUUCCCUUGCAGUUUCCUAAUGGGUGUGGGUCUGGCACAUGCUGGGCACAGGAGUUCAUUCACAAGCUCUGGCAAAUGCCUACCUAGAUCUUAAUUUUUUUCCAGGCCUUAACUGUUAACCAAGGCAGGAAUCUCCCUUCAAAGGAACAGUGCUCAAAAAAAAUCUAUUUCUUAGCCAGUGAUACAGAAGGCAAAUAGUUCAUAUCAGUCCCAGAGAUGGUGGAGUUCAUCUCAUAUUCUUCUUCAUAUGCAAUGCUCUAAAAAAACAAAACCUUGAUGAUCUGAUUUUGAUGCAGUACUCCACCAUGACUGCUAAUUGUUUUCUCAUUAGUCCUUGCUUUUGAAAGUAAAGCUAGAUUUUGUUGGAAUAGCUCUGAAAAUCUAUCAGGCUCAAGAGGUGUGGCUUACUAGCAGCAGGAAGGUGCAGAGAAAUAGAUGAUGGGUAUGUGCUAACUUUUCAGAUUACUGGAAAAUGUCCCAGUGAAGUUAUCUUGUCCCUGCUGCAGACACAGACUCUGAAUAUUGCUUGUCCUUGCCUGGCAGCAAGAGAGAGCAGCAGCAGCAUCUGUUGGCAGCAGAGGGGAUGCAGCCAUGAGGCAUGGGUGCUCACUGUCCCAGGGACCUUCUCAUUGCAGUUGCUUAGUGUAAGCCUAAAAUUAUCACGUUCAAAUUGAUGGGAAGAGCAGAGUUUUGAAAAGCUGUGUCUCAAUAAGAAAGUUUAUUCUCCUUUUUCUUAGAGCUGAUAAACUGCUGCCCUAACCAAGGCAGGUGGAGAAAGAUUUCUGUGAAUAAAUGAGACAAAAAGGUCUGUCAGAAGAGGAUUAGUUGGGGCGGAGCCUGCCUCUGAGCAAGACAGAGGGCGAGGCGACCUUGCAAAGCCUGUCUGGGCUAUUUUCUUGAGCUCUGGCAAGAAGACUGUAAAGGCAGUAGUGACACAGGAGAGCUGCAUUCAAAGUGGAAAUUAAUUUUGCUGUAAUGCCUGCUGUUGCUGCUGCUUACACAGCAAUGAAUAAUGGCUGUCUAGCCUUGAAAUCCUAAAAUCCCCCAGUUGUCCCCAACCCUAGGGAGCAUGAGCAAGUCAAAUGGAGGCUUUUCCAUACCAGGAGGGCCCUUGCUCUGUGGCCUACUGGGAAGUGUAGUUCAGUGCCUGUAUGGCCAUUUCAGAGCAGCCUUUGCUCCCUCUGGUUAGCAGAGCCUAAGGUUUGAGAGCAAGGAGUUUUGUGGGGCAAGGUUGGGAUGGCUCCUUGAGUUCAUUUGCUCCUUGCUUCAGUUGACCAUCCCUCUCUGAAGUGUGGGAUCAUGAGAUAUUCCCUCUUUGCUAGGAUGUCUGAGGGGAAGAGCUGCAUGAUGUCCUUUCUGAGAUGCUGUUCUGCAACCCCAACAGAGAAAGACAACCUUGGUGGUGAGGGGCUUGUCAAAUCCUGCUGCCAGUAGAAAUAAGGGUGGGCACAAGCAAACAGGAGACAUGGCUGGAAAUAAGGCAUGUGGACAAACAUUGUCCUGAAUAGGGAGUGUCCAGGGUUGCUAUGGAACAGGGCCAGCCUGGGCUUGUGCUUGCUUGCCCCACUGAGUCAGGGUCAGAGUCACCAGGUUAGCUCAGCCUUCCCCAGGGAAAGGUUCAUGCUGACAUAUCAUGGAAACCAAAGGGAGAACAGUGCUUUAAACACGGCAGAUUAGGCUAGUGAGGGGCAGGGCAAGUAAGGAGCAUUUGGGGUUCAAAUAUUGCAUAAAAGCUCAAAAGCUGCAAGAGAAGAGGAGGGAAAUACGGACCUGGCCAACCACCCACAGACACUGGAUGUGACCAGGUAUGUAACUGCAGCAAAGCCAGCAAACCUCCAGCAUCUGGCAAAGAAAAAGUGGGUUUGCACACUUUUGAGUCUGGGGCAUAUCUUGAAGAACAUGAGACUGGAUGGGUUUGGGGGUGUUUCAUCCAAAAUGGAGAAUUAGAACUUUCUGCAUUUCUUCCCGUGUUAUUUUUUUAUUUCCACCAAAGUUUUCUUUCUUUCAGUAAGGAGAUGUGAGUUCCAUCCAGACUGCACCUCCCCAUUUUCAUCCUCAAAAUAAUAACAGCCUCAUUUGCUAAAGGCACUAUAAGGAUAUUAAGUGAAAAUGAAUUAAGUUUAAUUCAAUUGUUAUUUUAGGAGCUUUGCCUCGUCAGGGUUUUGCAAAGCUUCAUUCUUCCACUUGCUGGAGACCAGCUUUAACACGCCCCUGCUGAGAUGUUGCUGCAAGCCACAAACCCAUCACGCUGGGAGUUUUACUUAAUGCUUAGGGUUGGAUUUUAUUUUGCUUAAAUGUCAGAGUCUGUCUGCCAUGCUGCUGGGGGAGAGGGAAGAACCAGAGACUGGUUAGCUCAAGUCCAUCAUAUGCAGCUUAGAAAUAAAAUUAAUUGUCUGGCUGGUGAUUUCUCAGGCAAAACCCCAGCAGUUCUUUGUCCAGAAAGCACCAUGUCACUGCUGCCCUGUUUCAGAGAGGCUUCACCUGCUCAGUGCAUCGGGUCUCAUCUGGAUCUUCUCCACCUGCUGUAGUACCCUUUGGAUCACCAGCACAUGAGGGUGGAAGCUGCCAAGGUGGGAAGAGCUGGGGAAGGAUUAGUUUGCAUCUGCAGAGUACUCAUUUCACCUGCUCUUUGGACUGGCUUAAAUGCACUGCAAAAGCCCCAAAAUGCAUUGGGAGCUGCCCUGGUUAGGGACCACUCCCUCAUCUCCAGUGAGGCAUCAGCUCCACCUGGGAGAAGCUUUGAAAAGGGAGAAAAGAGGAGAGAAGGCAGUGACAGAGGGAUCUGAACUAUCCUAGGGCUGAUGAUUAUGGCUCUGCUAUGUGGGCAGGCAGGCUGCUGUGUGCCUGUAACCACCUGGGCAUUUGGAGAAAAUUCACAGCCCUGCACAGGACUGGGGCAUGAGGAGAGUGUGAUCCUGAGGGGUGAGAAGAAGAGGGCCUCAAACUCCCCCAAAGCCCACCAAAAGAACCUUUCAGAGGAACUGUCAUCUCCCAUAGCUUGUCCAGUGAAGCUGUAGGAUCCAUCCCACCCCUCCUCCCUCUCAUCUCUGGCUGUGUAGCAGAGGGGCAGAAGGGAGGACAAGGCCCCAGAGAUAAAUGCCUGCACAGAGUGCUGGGACAGCUCAGUGUCAGUGGCAGCAAGCAGAAGAAGGGAGCACUCAGAGCAGAGUUCUCCCAGCCCCUAACCUUGCUGAGAGCCAGCACCCAGGAUUUAUGGAAGAAAAUCUUGGAAGUGACCUCUGAUCCACUGCAGCACCAAGCGCGGACUCAGAUGGCAUUACAGCUUGAUGUACAGCCAGCGGGUCUGCCGGGCAGUCUCCUGUGAGCGAUGGCUUGCGAUAUUUCUGGAGUUUAUACCUAGCUCUCCAGCUCGAUGGGCUUUCUGGGUAUGAUUUGUGCCCUGUGUAGCUCUGUAAAUAUUGAGCUCAGAGAAUUAUAUAUGGCGACAGCCCUACAGCACUCCCGGUGAUAUAUCCCCGCGUUUGUGGUUGUAGGCGAAUAAUUUUAGUUUGAGUGGUGUGGCAAUGAGAACAAGGAGGAGGUAAAAUAAAAGGGUAAUUCGAGUCCAAGUGAAUGGCAGGGAGCAUGCGUGAGGCUUCAAAGCCUCUCCCACCAAUCACUCAGGGAAUUGACAGCCAGGACAAUUUCCCAAAUUAG